UUUGGUGGUUUUACCGAGUGUGCAACACGCCAUCCCAUCUCGAACUGGACUGUGAAAAACCUCAGGGCUAAUGGUACUAUGGCUCAAGCCAUGGGAGAGUAAGUCGCUGCCAAAU
rnacentral:rRNA from 1 species